rnacentral:snRNA from 1 species
GCACUCGUGACCUGAACAAAAUUGGAACGAUACAGAGAAGGGCAUUAAUGUAUGUCCGGAAGAUUUUGCCAUGAUUCCCGGAGUGGUUGAUCACUCCAUUUGUGGAAAAUUUCCCUUUUUGGAUAUUUUGAUAUUUUGACCCGGUCAGUGUCCGGGUGAAAAUAUCAAUAUUAUUCAGUUAGCAUGGCCCCUGCACAAGGAUGACACGCUUUCCCGGAGUGGUAGAUCUACGGAUCUCAAUAUUUAU